rnacentral:rRNA from 1 species
UACAGAGGUCUCAAGCGUUGUUCGGAUUCAUUGGCGUAAAGGGUGCGUAGGCGGCGCGGUAAGUCGGGUGUGAAAUCUCGGAGCUUAACUCCGAAACUGCAUUCGAUACUGCCGUGCUUGAGGACUGGAGAGGAGACUGGAAUUUACGGUGUAGCGGUGAAAUGCGUAGAUAUCGUAAGGAAGACCAGUGGCGAAGGCGGGUCUCUGGACAGUUCCUGACGCUGAGGCACGAAGGCCAGGGAGCAAACGG